GACGAACGCUGGCGGCAUGCUUAACACAUGCCAGUCGAACGGAAAGGCCCUGCUUUUGUGGGGUGCUCGAGUGGCGAACGGGUGAGUAACACGCGAGUAACCUGCCCUUGACUUUGGGAUAACUUCAGGAAACUGGGGCUAAUACCGGAUAGGAGCUCCUGCUGCAUGGUGGGGGUUGGAAAGUUUCGGCGGUUGGGGAUGGACUCGCGGCUUAUCAGCUUGUUGGUGGGGUAGUGGCUUACCAAGGCUUUGACGGGUAGCCGGCCUGAGAGGGUGACCGGCCACAUUGGGACUGAGAUACGGCCCAGACUCCUACGGGAGGCAGCAGUGGGGAAUAUUGCACAAUGGGCGGAAGCCUGAUGCAGCAACGCCGCGUGCGGGAUGACGGCCUUCGGGUUGUAAACCGCUUUCGCCUGUGACGAAGCGUGAGUGACGGUAAUGGGUAAAGAAGCACCGGCUAACUACGUG
rnacentral:rRNA from 1 species